UACGGGGGGAGCAAGCGUUGUUCGGAUUUACUGGGCGUAAAGGGCGCGUAGGCGGCCACCGCAAGUCAAUUGUGAAAUCUCCGGGCUUAACUCGGAAAGGUCAACUGAUACUGCGGGGCUAGAGUGCGGAAGGGGCAACUGGAAUUCUCGGUGUAGCGGUGAAAUGCGUAGACAUCGAGAGGAACACCUGCGGCGAAGGCGGGUUGCUGGGCCGACACUGACGCUGAGGCGCGAAAGCCAGGGGAGCGAACGGG
rnacentral:rRNA from 1 species